AGGACUGGUGUAGCUACCACCAGCGUAGGGACCUAGUUCAGAAUCACCAAGGGAUUGUACCAUUGAUGUGAGUCUCUUGGCUUUGAUUUUGCCCUACAAAUACAGAAAAACAUUUAAAUACCAGACAACAAUGGUAAAAUAUGGCAUAACCGCUGUACAUAUCGCUCUUUAACAACCUCUAGGCUGAUUCAAAUUUGGGCAAGGCUAACUCAACACACGUGGAAUUUAAAUUUAGCAUGCCUCUUGGAAUCCUGGAUCAAAGAUAAAGGCUUUCUUGAAGUCAUUGAUGCAGUGCUCGUAUUCCUCUUGGUAUUUGUAUGCCUGGAAUAUGACAACCAGAUAUUAGACAUGGAAAUACUGACAGCGAAAAGUUAAAAAUGAAGGGUAAAAGUCCAACUUUUUCCAUCUUUGAAAGAAAAGUAACUGACCAUGGCUCUAUUGAAGUGUAAAUCAGGAUUACUGGCUGUUCUUGGGUCUUUCUCCUGUUGAUGUAUGACCAAACAAUAUAAGGUA